rnacentral:rRNA from 1 species
AUUGAACGCUGGCGGCAGGCUUAACACAUGCAAGUCGAACGAUGACUCUCUAGCUUGCUAGAGAAGAUUAGUGGCGGACGGGUGAGUAACAUUUAGGAAUCUGCCUAGUAGUGGGGGAUAGCUCGGGGAAACUCGAAUUAAUACCGCAUACGACCUACGGGUGAAAGGGGGCGCAAGCUCUUGCUAUUAGAUGAGCCUAAAUCAGAUUAGCUAGUUGGUGGGGUAAAGGCCUACCAAGGCGACGAUCUGUAACUGGUCUGAGAGGAUGAUCAGUCACACCGGAACUGAGACACGGUCCGGACUCCUACGGGAGGCAGCAGUGGGGAAUAUUGGACAAUGGGGGCAACCCUGAUCCAGCCAUGCCGCGUGUGUGAAGAAGGCCUUUUGGUUGUAAAGCACUUUAAGCAGGGAGGAGAGGCUAAUGGUUAAUACCCAUUAGAUUAGACGUUACCUGCAGAAUAAGCACCGGCUAACUCUGUGCCAGCAGCCGCGGUAAUACAGAGGGUGCGAGCGUUAAUCGGAAUUACUGGGCGUAAAGCGAGUGUAGGUGGCUCAUUAAGUCACAUGUGAAAUCCCCGGGCUUAACCUGGGAACUGCAUGUGAUACUGGUGGUGCUAGAAUAUGUGAGAGGGAAGUAGAAUUCCAGGUGUAGCGGUGAAAUGCGUAGAGAUCUGGAGGAAUACCGAUGGCGAAGGCAGCUUCCUGGCAUAAUAUUGACACUGAGAUUCGAAAGCGUGGGUAGCAAACAGGAUUAGAUACCCUGGUAGUCCACGCCGUAAACGAUGUCAACUAGCCGUUGGGGUCCUUGAGACUUUAGUGGCGCAGUUAACGCGAUAAGUAGACCGCCUGGGGAGUACGGCCGCAAGGUUAAAACUCAAAUGAAUUGACGGGGGCCCGCACAAGCGGUGGAGCAUGUGGUUUAAUUCGAUGCAACGCGAAGAACCUUACCUGGUCUUGACAUAGUGAGAAUCCUGCAGAGAUGCGGGAGUGCCUUCGGGAAUUCACAUACAGGUGCUGCAUGGCUGUCGUCAGCUCGUGUCGUGAGAUGUUGGGUUAAGUCCCGCAACGAGCGCAACCCUUUUCCUUAUUUGCCAGCGGGUUAAGCCGGGAACUUUAAGGAUACUGCCAGUGACAAACUGGAGGAAGGCGGGGACGACGUCAAGUCAUCAUGGCCCUUACGACCAGGGCUACACACGUGCUACAAUGGUAGGUACAGAGGGUUGCUACACAGCGAUGUGAUGCUAAUCUCAAAAAGCCUAUCGUAGUCCGGAUUGGAGUCUGCAACUCGACUCCAUGAAGUCGGAAUCGCUAGUAAUCGCAGAUCAGAAUGCUGCGGUGAAUACGUUCCCGGGCCU